AUUGCAACAACUGCACGCCACACGCUACACGCACGCAUCAACAUGUAGUUUCAGUUUCUCGCAUAAACAUUUAGGUAGGAAAUUGGCGUCCAUUUUCAAGGAAUCUGGAAACUUAGGAGGAUUCGUUCAUCUACUCUUGAUCUUGCUGUUGUACUGUCUUGCUGUUGAAAUCCCUUGAGAAUUUAUAUGAAGCCUUGAUCAAGCAUUCCAAAUCCGGAUUAGUAGGAUCAGGUAAUCGAAUAAACGAAGCAAAGAUGGGGUUUGUCAUAGUUAUCUCGGUGCCAUUGCUCUUACUACUCUUGAUCAUAGUUCUAGCUGCCUAUUUGCUUGUAAGGGCUCGGCGUCGUUCUGUAGCGACACAGCAUUUCGGCCCUCCUGCUCCGCCACCAUUUGCAGGCCCACCGCCUCCUGAGGUAAAAUCAUCACAGGUUUAAUGUUUUUGAACGAGGAAUUAAGUGCAUGGCUAUUGGAGAUGCUUGAUAGUGUGUUCUACUCGAGUAUGUGAUACGGUUUUGAAGUGUCAUUUGUGUAAAGAGAAUUAAUUUAUAUAUGUAUGUUUGCAUAGUUACAUAUGUGGCUGUAAAACUUCAGGAUGCUCAAAAAUGUUAUUUUUUUUUUAAAAAAAAAAAAAAAACAGAGCAGUUAGUAGGCAGUGCUGGAGUUGUGAAUAUGAGAAAAAGAAUACUAAAGCUAUGAACACGAAAUUAAUUUGUA